ACUCCUACGGGAGGCAGCAGUGGGGAAUAUUGCACAAUGGGGAAACCCUGAUGCAGCCAUGCCGCGUGUGUGAAGAAGGCCUUCGGUUGUAAAGCACUUUCAGUAGGGAGGAAGGUAGUGUAGUUAACACCUGCAUUAUUUGACGUUACCUACAGAAGAAGCACCGGCUAACUCCGUGCCAGCAGCCGCGGUAAUACGGAGGGGUGCGAGCGUUAAUCGGAAUUACUGGGCGUAAAGCGCAUGCAGGCGGCCUGUUAAGUCAGAUGUGAAAGCCCGGGGGCUUAACCUCGGAAUUGCAUUUGAAACUGGCAGGCUAGAGUCUUGUAGAGGGGGUAGAAUUUCAGGUGUAGCGGUGAAAUGCGUAGAGAUCUGAAGGAAUACCGGUGGCGAAGGCGGCCCCCUGGACAGAUACUGACACUCAGAUGCGAAAGCGUGGGGAGCGAAACAGGAUUAGAUACCCUGGUAGCUACGAG
rnacentral:rRNA from 1 species